rnacentral:rRNA from 1 species
GAUGAACGCUGGCGGCGUGCCUAAUACAUGCAAGUCGAGCGAACGGACGAGAAGCUUGCUUCUCUGAUGUUAGCGGCGGACGGGUGAGUAACACGUGGAUAACCUACCUAUAAGACUGGGAUAACUUCGGGAAACCGGAGCUAAUACCGGAUAAUAUUUUGAACCGCAUGGUUCAAAAGUGAAAGACGGUCUUGCUGUCACUUAUAGAUGGAUCCGCGCUGCAUUAGCUAGUUGGUAAGGUAACGGCUUACCAAGGCAACGAUGCAUAGCCGACCUGAGAGGGUGAUCGGCCACACUGGAACUGAGACACGGUCCAGACUCCUACGGGAGGCAGCAGUAGGGAAUCUUCCGCAAUGGGCGAAAGCCUGACGGAGCAACGCCGCGUGAGUGAUGAAGGUCUUCGGAUCGUAAAACUCUGUUAUUAGGGAAGAACAUAUAUGUAAGUAACUGUGCACAUCUUGACGGUACCUAAUCAGAAAGCCACGGCUAACUACGUGCCAGCAGCCGCGGUAAUACGUAGGUGGCAAGCGUUAUCCGGAAUCAUUGGGCGUAAAGCGCGCGUAGGCGGUUUUUUAAGUCUGAUGUGAAAGCCCACGGCUCAACCGUGGAGGGUCAUUGGAAACUGGAAAACUUGAGUGCAGAAGAGGAAAGUGGAAUUCCAUGUGUAGCGGUGAAAUGCGCAGAGAUAUGGAGGAACACCAGUGGCGAAGGCGACUUUCUGGUCUGUAACUGACGCUGAUGUGCGAAAGCGUGGGGAUCAAACAGGAUUAGAUACCCUGGUAGUCCACGCCGUAAACGAUGAGUGCUAAGUGUUAGGGGGUUUCCGCCCCUUAGUGCUGCAGCUAACGCAUUAAGCACUCCGCCUGGGGAGUACGACCGCAAGGUUGAAACUCAAAGGAAUUGACGGGGACCCGCACAAGCGGUGGAGCAUGUGGUUUAAUUCGAAGCAACGCGAAGAACCUUACCAAAUCUUGACAUCCUUUGACAACUCUAGAGAUAGAGCUUUCCCCUUCGGGGGACAAAGUGACAGGUGGUGCAUGGUUGUCGUCAGCUCGUGUCGUGAGAUGUUGGGUUAAGUCCCGCAACGAGCGCAACCCUUAAGCUUAGUUGCCAUCAUUAAGUUGGGCACUCUAAGUUGACUGCCGGUGACAAACCGGAGGAAGGUGGGGAUGACGUCAAAUCAUCAUGCCCCUUAUGAUUUGGGCUACACACGUGCUACAAUGGACAAUACAAAGGGCAGCGAAACCGCGAGGUCAAGCAAAUCCCAUAAAGUUGUUCUCAGUUCGGAUUGUAGUCUGCAACUCGACUACAUGAAGCUGGAAUCGCUAGUAAUCGUAGAUCAGCAUGCUACGGUGAAUACGUUCCCGGGUCU